rnacentral:lncRNA from 1 species
GUAGUUAUAAAAAUAAGUAUUUAUAUGAAAGUUCAAUUCCAAAAGGAUAAUUAAAAUUUAAAUUUUGCAGCUGAUGAAAUACUUGUUAUGGAACUUUUAUCAUGAAUAAGCAAAAAGCCAAAUAAAAAACGUCGGCCAAUAGUAGCUUGCCAGCUAUCAAACCGACUUCAUAACGGUAAAAAUAUAAAUUAUGACGUAAUUCGGCUGACUAAUAUAAACAACGAGCAGAUGCUGAGAUGCAGUACUGUGAUAUUUUGAUUAGUUUCGUUUUGUUCUAAAUUCAAGAAUUUUGAAACUGUAUACGAACUGUUCGAUCUUCCGUUGGUUAACUUGAAUUCGUUAAAAUUCUGUGGUCUUUAAUAUGGAUUCUCGACAAAUUCGUUCACUCCUUGUGUUGUGUGUUUGUCUCCUUUCCAAAUUCAAAUUCGUAUUUGGUGAGUAUUGAAACAGAAAUUCUGAAUUCAUGCUGCUCAGCUGUUUGUCAUCGACAUACAUGUGUUAGUCUAUACCUUUGCUUUGGUUCAGGAGAAUUUAAAGCUAGAACAUUUGUUAUUAUUGCUAUAUACAUGCAGUAAUAAACAUUUGAUAGGAUAUCUGGAUUGACUGGAUAUAGUUAAUAUUAGGCCUAGACUAUUCUUCACGCAAUGAUGCAGAUAAACAUAAAAAUGCCACUCGUCCCCAAGGCAAGCCUAAAUGUUGCUCUUAUGAUGUGCCUGUGUCACAGUGACACAUGCAUCCCCAAGUUUUGUGUAUCCCCA